GCAAGUCGAACGAGAAAGUACCUUCGGGUGCGAGUAGAGUGGCGCACGGGUGAGUAACACGUAGAUAACCUACCCUGAAGUGGGGGAUAACUCGGAGAAAUUCGGGCUAAUACCGCAUAAUAAGGUAACUUUAAAGGAUGCUUCGGCAUGUGCUUUAGGAUGGGUCUGCGGAACAUUAGUUUGAUGGUGGGGUAAUGGCCUACCAUGACUACGAUGUUUAGCUGGUCUGAGAGGAUGAUC
rnacentral:rRNA from 1 species